CGCUGAGGACUUUUUGUAAUCAAUAAUAAAGGCGAAGCAAUGUGCAUUAUGACUUUCAAAUUUAUUUUUUAUCCGGUUACGAUCGUUUUUUCAUAUUUUUUAAUGAAUUUUAGAUGGCAAUGUCUCUUAUUUAAGCCUGCCGGAUGUUACUUAUAUUUAAGAGUAUAUCGAUAAGCAUCUAAUUUACAAACUGUAGGCUGUAUUCUGAUAUGUAAUAAAGUUGUCUAGAAAAUAAUCCUCUCGUUUUCUAUUCUUUUCUAGAAAAAAAAAUCGCCUUUGCGUUCAAAUAUAAAUAUCUUUUAUCGUGAAUAGAAGACAAGUUGUUCAUUGAAAAUUACUAAAUAAAUAAAAUAGAACGAAAUAAAAGAAAUUAAAAAAUAUAACAAGGAGACGAUAAAUUUCGAAUCAAAUAAAUUUUGAUAACCAAAUAAAUUGAAAUAAGGAGAAUUAAUUAUUGGCAGAUUGAUCGAUGAAUACUCGAGAUACCGAAUUUCUUUGCCGACAGACCAUCCGGAUCGCAAGGACGUUACCUUGACUGGUUUCCAUUCGAUCCGGUUUUAAUCAUCCUUCGAUGGAAACCGUAAGUGAAUCGACAAGAAAGAAAGGAUCGAAUGGUCAGACAUGAUUGCACUCGGUAUGCGUGACGCUGCGGUAAAAUAUCGAAAGACGAUGCUGAAAAAUAAUGGAAAAAUAUAUAUCAUAUCUUAUCACUUAUAGAUCUAUCGUACGGAAAAAAAUAAAUAUCUAUAUCCAUUGAAUCAUAAUUUAAUAAAAAUACAAAAUGCUCGAUAUACUCGUAAAGUAAAAAGAAAAGGAAAAAACAGCAUUCUCUUGAAUCAAAUUCCAGUAGUAUCAUCAAGAUUUUCUACGUAGAUUGCAUUGUUCCAGUAUUUAUGCUUACUCAACAAAUACCCAAAGUCUAACGAAAUACGAAUCGUGUUAAAAAAGAAUCAUCGAAAGAAAGAAAUAUAAUUUUGUGUGAAUAUUUAUUUCAUCUGCCUCUAUCCCUUUCGAAAAUGAUUUUCGAAAAAAAAAAAAUGAAUAAAGAUUAAAGGAUUAUGCGAUCUUUUUAAAAAAUAUCUUGAAAAAAAUUGCAUGUAAUCAUACGUGUGAUAUUUGUUUUCUCGGAUAAAAGCGGGAACUAAUAGAAAUAAAAUAGCGGUUUCGUCGGGAAAAUUGCACGGUGAGCCGCGCAAAGUUACGCUCGUCAAAUUAACGAGUACAUAUUCCUGAAACACGCGAGGGGAGGUCUUUGCACUUAACACUGGUUCGCGUGCGGCUAACGUGUGCACGCAACGCGUGUUGUUCGCACACGUACUUACACACGAGCCAAGAUGCACUCUCAGGUAAUGGCAUAGAUGGCCUCGACCUUGGUGCAUCGCUCGACUGCACUGUGUAUCGUCCCACGCAGUGGCGUAACAUCCAGCAAUGCUUUUCUCACGGGCCACUGAAUGUCCUUAGAAUACAGUGGAGAUGCAAGUAAAGCGAUGCACGAUCACGAUGUACGAUGUAUAAUUUAUAGAAGAAAUAUAUAGGAUGGACGGUUUAACAUCUUAACAAAUAUAUUGAAAAAUCAACUUCUACUUUGGAUAAAGAAAACGUAGAAACGUAAAAUUAUAUAAAUGACAAAAGAAUCUAAAAUAGACAAUCUAAUCAUUGCUUGAUAUUAUUUGCAUAAAUAUAGUAAUUAUGCGCAAUAAUUAUGCAAUAAUAAUCAUAAAAGAAAAUUUAUAUACGUUCGAUUUAUUGCGUAAAGAUACUUAUAUCUUUUGAUGUAUUUUUUUUAUAACAUUUCUUUCGAAAGAAAUUUGUCUUAAAAAUGCAUGGGACAAAUGGAUUCAAUUACGAUUUAUUGAAAAAUAGAAAUAAAAUACACGCAUAAAA